AGGGAAUAUUGGACAAUGGGGGCAACCCUGAUCCAGCCAUGCCGCGUGAGUGAAGAAGGCCCUCGGGUUGUAAAGCUCUUUUGUCCGGAAAGAAAAGCAUUCGGUGAAUACCCGGAUGUUCUGACGGUACCGGAAGAAUAAGCACCGGCUAACUUCGUGCCAGCAGCCGAGGUAAUACGAAGGGUGCAAGCGUUACUCGGAAUUACUGGGCGUAAAGCGUGCGUAGGUGGUUGUUUAAGUCUGAUGUGAAAGCCCUGGGCUCAACCUGAGAAUGGGAUUGGAAACUGGUCAGCUAGAGUGCGGUAGAGGGUAGUGGAAGUCCCGAUGUAGCAGUGCAAUGCGUAGAGUUCGGGAGUAACAGCUGGGGCGUAGGCGACUGCCUGGACCAGCACUGACACUGAGGCACGAAAGCGUG
rnacentral:rRNA from 1 species